rnacentral:rRNA from 1 species
CCUACGGGAGGCAGCAGUAAGGAAUAUUGGGCAAUGGACGCAAGUCUGACCCAGCCAUGCCGCGUGCAGGAUGAAGGCCCUUUGGGUUGUAAACUGCUUUUAUCUGGGAAGAAAUCCACUGUUUCUACGGUGGUUGACGGUACCAGAGGAAUAAGCACCGGCUAACUCCGUGCCAGCAGCCGCGGUAAUACGGAGGGUGCAAGCGUUAUCCGGAUUCACUGGGUUUAAAGGGUGCGUAGGCGGGUUUUUAAGUCAGCGGUGAAAGCUCCGAGCUUAACUCGGAAAUUGCCGUUGAUACUAUUAAUCUUGAAUUUAGUUGAGGUGGGCGGAAUGUGUAGUGUAGCGGUGAAAUGCUUAGAUAUUACACAGAACACCUAAUUGCGAAAGGCAGCUCGCUAAAACUAAUAAUUGAACGCUGAGGCACGAAAAGCGUGGGGAAUCAAAACAGGAUUAGAAAACCCUGGUAGUCCACGCCCUAAAACGAUAGAUUACUCGAUCCGUGCGAUACACUGUAACGGGUCUAUGCAAAAGCAAUUAAGUAAUCCACCUGGAAGUACGACCGCAAGGUUGAAAACUUAAAGGAAAUUAGAAGG